UACAGAGGGUGCAAGCGUUGUUCGGAAUUACUGGGCGUAAAGCGCGUGUAGGCGGCCUUUCAAGUCCUGUGUGAAAGCCCUGGGCCUCAACCCAGGAAGUGCGCAGGAUACUGAAGGGCUGGAGUGGCGGAGAGGAUGGCGGAAUUCCCGGUGUAGAGGUGAAUUCGUAGAUAUCGGAGGAACACCUGUGGCGAAGGCGGCCAUCUGGACGUUCACUGACGCUGAGACGCGAAGCGUGGGUAGCAAACAGGA
rnacentral:rRNA from 1 species